rnacentral:lncRNA from 10 species
GACUAGAGGAUCACCAGUAAAUCAUUGUAAACAAGCGUGGAAAGAGAGAAAGUCCACUUUAAGCGAUGGAAAAUCAGCCCCAAUUCUGAAGGAACAACCAUGAACAGAUGAUUUAAGGAGAAUCAAUUCUUUGCUCUUUGCAGAAGGAGCCAACAGAGUGAGAUGAAGGGGACAACUUCAGAUACUCAGGCAGAAGCAUAAGUCCCCACCUGCUGACCUGCUGCCUGCUAUCUUAACACGAAUUCUUCAUCUGAAUGGAUGAGCUUUUCACAGAGUUCCAAACUAAGGAAUCCAGGAGUGGCCAAUCCAGAGAUUCAUUCCUUAUCUUUGACGAACAUCUGAACUCCUGGCUCAUCCUGUGGAAUUCAGGCCAUACAGGAGAUCAAGGUCAUUUGCUUUGGGUUAAAUGAAUGUUGCCAGGUGGAGGUUGCUAGAGGGAGAGUGCUAUGUGAAAGUGCUGUAUAAACUGCUUGCUUUUCACAAACAGUAGUGAUUCUUUAUCCUGUCCAGCCUGCCACAACUGGACCAUCCUGUAUGUAAGUCCCCUUAAUAAAUCCUGUGUCUCAUUCACUGGCUUCAAGUCUCUUCCUGGGCCUCUUGAACGUGGUGCCACCUGUAUUGAAGUCAACAGAAGUUCA